UGGCGGGAUGGUUUACACAUGCAAGUCGAGCGGCAGCGCGGGGGCAACCCUGGCGGCGAGCGGCGAACGGGUGAGGAAUACAUCGGAACGUACCCCGGAGUGGGGGAUAACGCCGCGAAAGCGGCGCUAAUACCGCAUAUGCUCUGAGGAGGAAAGUGGGGGACCGCAAGGCCUCACGCUCUGGGAGCGGCCGAUGUCCGAUUAGCUAGUUGGUGGGGUAAUGGCUUACCAAGGCGACGAUCGGUAGCUGGUCUGAGAGGAUGAUCAGCCACACUGGGACUGAGACACGGCCCAGACUCCUACGGGAGGCAGCAGUGGGGAAUUUUGGACAAUGGGGGNAACCCUGAUCCAGCCAUGCCGCGUGCGGGAAGAAGGCCUUCGGGUUGUAAACCGC
rnacentral:rRNA from 1 species